ACCACCAUCUUGCUCUUUCCUUUCUUCGGGGCUACCUUCCCAAGGGUUCGGUUGUUCGCCGAUUCAAGUGGUACGUGAGUUGGGUUUAGAACGUCGUGAGACAGUUC
rnacentral:ncRNA from 1 species